UCGCUUUGGCAGCACAUAUACUAAAAUCGGAAGGAUUGUAGAAAAAAUUAGCAUGGCCCCUGCUCAAGGAUGACACCCAAAGGGAUGUAUGUACACCACUAUU